rnacentral:rRNA from 1 species
UCAAAACUUUUUAGCUAGAGUAUGAUAGAGGAAAGCAGAAUUUCUAGUGUAGAGGUGAAAUUNGUAGAUAUUAGAAAGAAUACCAAUUGCGAAGGCAGCUUUCUGGAUCAUUACUGACACUGAGGAACGAAAGCAUGGGUAGCGAAGAGGAUUAGAUACCCUCGUAGUCCAUGCCGUAAACGAUGUGUGUUAGACGUUGGAAAUUUUUUUUCAGUGUCGCAGCGAAAGCGAUAAACACACCGCCUGGGGAGUACGACCGCAAGGUUAAAACUCAAAUGAAUUGACGGGGACCCGCACAAGUAGUGGAGCAUGUGGUUUAAUUCGAAGAUACGCGCAGAACCUUACCAACACUUGACAUGUUCGUCGCGACUUUAAGAGAUUAAAGUUUUCGGUUCGGCCGGACGAAACACAGGUGCUGCAUGGCUGUCGUCAGCUCGUGUCGUGAGAUGUUGGGUUAAGUCCCGCAACGAGCGCAACCCUCACUUUUAGUUGCCAUCAUUUAGCUGGGCACUCUGAAAGAACUGCCAGUGAUAAGCUGGAGGAAGGUGGGGAUGACGUCAAGUCCUCAUGGCCCUUACGUGUUGGGCUACACACGUGCUACAAUGGCAUCUACAAUAGGAAGCAAGAUGGCGACAUCAAGCAAAUCCUAAAAAGAUGCCUCAGUUCGGAUUGCACUCUGCAACUCGAGUGCAUGAAGCUGGAAUUACUAGUAAUCGCGGAUCAGCGCGCCGCGGUGAAUACGUUCCCGGGUCUUGUACACACCGCCCGUCACACCAUGGGAGUUGGUUCUACCUUAAGGCAAAGCUUAAAACCUUUGACCACGGUAUAGUCAGCGACUGGGGUGAAGUCGUAACAAGGUAACC